UACAGAGGUCCCGAGCGUUGUUCGGAUUCACUGGGCGUAAAGGGUGCGUAGGUGGCGAGGAAAGUCGGAUGUGAAAGCUCGGAGCUCAACUCCGAAAUGGCAUUGGAAACUACCUUGCUCGAGGGUUGGAGGGGGACUGGAAUUCUCGGUGUAGCAGUGAAAUGCGUAGAUAUCGAGAGGAACACCAGUGGCGAAGGCGAGUCCCUGGACAACUCCUGACACUGAGGCACGAAAGCUAGGGGAGCAAACAGG
rnacentral:rRNA from 1 species